ACCUAUGUCAAACAAUCCAGUGCUGAAAUACAUCAACAUUCGACAAGGGCCACAAGGCGAAAAACUCAACGAUAUCUGCCAAACCAGUUACAACCAGCAACUGCAGUGUCCCAUAAACGUUGAAAAAACACAAAUAUUUCUCGUAGUCUUGUAAUUCGGUUAAAUUUUCAUCAAAUAUUUGCAAAAAUUGCAACAGGAAAGUACACGUGCGCUGUAUUUUGACAUUU